rnacentral:rRNA from 4 species
CGGGACCUCAGGUCAGGCGGGGCUACCCGCUGA